UCUGUACGCUUAACGUACAGGCUGCCGGGAAUACUGCAGAGCUAGGGAGUGGGAGAGGUAGACGGUACUCGGGAGGAAGUGGUAAAAUGCUUUGAUCUCUCGAUGACCACCUGUGGCGAAGGCGGUCUACCAGAACACGUCCGACGGUGAGGGAUGAAAGCUGGGGGAGCAAACCGGAUUAGAUACCCGGGUAGUCCCAGCUGUAAACUAUGCAAACUCAGUGAUGCAUUGGCUUGUGGCCAAUGCAGUGUUGCAGGGAAGCCGUUAAGUUUGCCGCCUGGGAAGUACGUACGCAAGUAUGAAACUUAAAGGAAUUGGCGGGGGAGCACCACAAGGGGUGAAGCCUGCGGUUCAAUUGGAGUCAACGCCAGAAAUCUUACCCGGAGAGACAGCAGAAUGAAGGUCAAGCUGAAGACUUUACCAGACAAGCUGAGAGGUGGUGCAUGGCCGUCGCCAGCUCGUGCCGUGAGAUGUCCUGUUAAGUCAGGUAACGAGCGAGAUCCCUGCCUCUAGUUGCCGCCAUUACUCUCAGGAGUAGUGGGGCGAAUUAGCGGGACCGCCGCAGUUAAUGCGGAGGAAGGAAGGGGCCACGGCAGGUCAGUAUGCCCCGAAAAUC
rnacentral:rRNA from 1 species